rnacentral:rRNA from 1 species
UACGUAGGGUGCGAGCGUUGUCCGGAAUUACUGGGCGUAAAGAGCUCGUAGGUGGUUUGUCGCGUUGUCCGUGAAAACUCACAGCUCAACUGUGGGCGUGCGGGCGAUACGGGCAGACUGGAGUACUGCAGGGGAGACUGGAAUUCCUGGUGUAGCGGUGGAAUGCGCAGAUAUCAGGAGGAACACCGAUGGCGAAGGCAGAUCUCUGGGCCGUAACUGACGCUGAGGAGCGAAAGCAUGGGGAGCGAACAGG